GUGCCAGCCGCCGCGGUAAUACCGGCAGCUCAAGUGAUGUCCCAUAUUAUUGGGCCUAAAGCGUCCGUAGCUGGCCGACCAAGUCUCCCGGGAAAUCCACCCGCCCAACGGGUGGGCGUCCGGCGGAAACUGUGUGGCUUGGAACCGGAAGGCUCAGAGGGUACGUCCGGGGUAGGAGUGAAAUCCCGUAAUCCCGGACGGACCACCGAUGGCGAAAGCACUCUGAGAAGACGGCUUCGACAGUGAGGGACGAAAGCUAGGGUCUCAAACCGGAUUAGAUACCCGAGUAGUCC
rnacentral:rRNA from 1 species